UACGUAGGGUGCAAGCGUUGUCCGGAAUUAUUGGGCGUAAAGAGCUCGUAGGCGGUUCGUCGCGUCGGCUGUGAAAAACCCGGAGCUCAACUCCGGGCCUGCAGUCGAUACGGGCGGACUCGAGUUCGGCAGGGGAGACUGGAAUUCCUGGUGUAGCGGUGAAAUGCUUAGAUAUCGUCAAGAACACCGAUAGUGUAGACAGCUUACUAGGCUGAAACUGACGCUGAGGCACGAAAGUGUGGGGAUCAAACAGG
rnacentral:rRNA from 1 species